rnacentral:rRNA from 1 species
CGCGGUAUCCUGACCGUGCUAAGGUAGCGUGAUAAUUCGCCCUUUAAUUGUGGGCUAGUACGAAUGAAUGAACGAAAAUUAAUCUGUCUCUAAAUUAUAGAAGUUAAUAUUAAGGUGAAAAAGCUUUAAUAUUUGUAUAGGACAAAAAGACCCUAUAGAGCUUAGAUUUUAAUCUUUAAGUAGAAAAAUAGUUUAUAUUUUUUAUUUAAAAGAUUAAACUUAACUGGGGCGGUUUAUGAAGUUUAAUAUCUUCUUAUGAGCUUAAAAAUGUAUAAAUUGAUUAUUUUAAUAGAUCCUUUUAAAGAUAAAUAGAAUAGCUACCUUAGGGGUAACAGACUAAUUUUUUUUGAGAGUUCAUAUUGACAAAAAAGUUUGGCACCUCGAUGUUGGCUUAG